CGGGAAGCAUAAAAUCCAGUAGUGGGCUGCUUCCAGGAAGAGCGAGAGGGACGUUGCUGCAGGAGCAAACUACCGAAGCCGUGGGUCGUCGUGCGAGAGUGUUUAAGUGGGAUUUAUCUGCGGAAUUGGACAUGUUGGAUGGCGAGCUAGAGCCUGAACUAGAGUCUGAAGCUUUAUGCCUGGAACCGAACCAACCGAACUGAAUCCACGGGCGGCAUAGCUCGGUUGGUAGAGUGGCCGCGCCAGCAUCUUAAAGGGUUGCAGGUUCGAUUCCCGCUUCCGCCAUUCUAGUCACUGCCGUUGUGUCCUUGGGCAAGAUACUUUACCCACCUGCUCCCAGUGCCACCCACACUGGUUUAAA